UACGUAGGGGGCAAGCGUUGUCCGGAAUCAUUGGGCGUAAAGCGCGCGUAGGCGGUUUGGUAAGUCGGGUGUGAAAACCAGAGGCUCAACCUCUGGCCUGCAUCCGAUACUGCCCGACUAGAGGUAGGUAGGGGAGAUCGGAAUUCCUGGUGUAGCGGUGAAAUGCGCAGAUAUCAGGAGGAACACCGGUGGCGAAGGCGGAUCUCUGGGCCUUACCUGACGCUGAGGCGCGAAAGCUAGGGGAGCAAACAGG
rnacentral:rRNA from 1 species